UUUCACUUCCUUCGCUUCUUCUUCUUUGUUUACUGCUAAGAUCUUACUUAGUGCUGCUCAUGUUGAUGUUGUUUUAUUUUGGAUCAUGAUCUGCAGCAGCAGUUGCUCAUCUACUUGGAUAAUGGAUAUGGAAUAGGUGGAAGUGCUUUUCAUUUGGCUGCUGCUGGAGGGAUAGUUCGAUGUUCUGAAGUACUUGAUUGAGGAGAUGAAACUUAUGUGGAUGUGGAAAGUAAUUCAGCCAAAUCUAGUCUUGUAUGAUACAUUUACUCCACUUCAUUCAUCUAUGUAUGUCCAAUCCUGGCAAUGCGCGGAAGCAUUACUGAAGGCAUGUGCUGAUCCAAAUGGUGGAUCAGAUGGAACAAGAGCUCUGCCAGUAGCAGCUGUAAUGGGGGUAGUAAAAAUCAUCAGGCUGGUGCAGAUCCAUAUGUUACAAAUAUAGAAAAGAAGCGGCACUAUGAGAUGAUUCGUUGGUCUCACUAUGGUAGUCUGGGUUUUGAAAGUCAACCCUUUUUUUUGUCAAAGCACGGACUAAAGCCAAUUGAAGUCUCAGCUUACAAAGAUAAUCGUCGAGGUGUUGAAAUUCUUUUUCCUGUGACUUCUCCUUUUCCAUCAUAUGUUGAGUGGAGAGUAAAUGGAAUAAUUGAAGCAUGCAAAUUCUAAGGAGUUUGAAAAUAAGGCGGCUUUUGUUGAGGCAAAAUCAAGGGGCACAAGUGCAUUCCGUAGAAAGGAGUAUUGGCUAGCAGUGUAUUGGUAGACAGCGGUAUCUUUUUGUAACUGAAACACUAUAAGGUUGAGCAUUUAAGUGAAUUUCAAUUUUAUUGAAAACUUUUGAAUGGAAGGUGAAAUAGAAACAAACACAUGUUCCUUAUAUAUUGUUGUGAAUUGCAGGGAAUAUUCACAUUUAUAUUAGAAAUGUGCAUUUGCCAUAUCAUGAUCUAGAAACGAAAUAGGGUACAAGCCUUCAUUUUUCUUUUGGUCAGUAACUAAAUUUUCUAUGCAGUUUCUUACUUUCUUAUAUGCUUAUUUCAAAAUCUAUGGUCUUUCAGAACCGGGAUUCCUUUCAAGUCUCAACUGCACGGUUUUGCACAAGAAAGAGGGCUUCUUUGUUCCUAUAUCCAGUUGAAUGACCCGUGUUUUUCGUAUUACAGGCAAAGAAAGCAUUAAGAGGGUUUGGGGAGAUUCUUGUUCAAGUGAAGAAAUUUGUUGAAAGAAAAGAUAUGGGUGAUGUGCAGUCAAUACUACCACGGGAGAUUAUUUAGGCCUGUUGCACCCGUCAAUGGUCAGAUGGUAGGAAGAUCAAAAGCCGAAAAUGUGUACAUGGGCAAAUGAUUUUCGAAGGAUCACGAUAACAUGAAUUGUUGUCGCAUUUGCUUAAAUGGUUUCAUAGAGAAUCCCAUUGACAACUAUGAGUUUUGGAUAUUUUGAGAGCUUAAUGCAGUCCUCAGAAAAGAAUUCAAGAAGCAAAGGGCACUGGCUAAAAAAGGCUCUGUAGGAUGGAAAGGUAUGGCACUGAGAAAGAAGAAAUAGAUUUGUUAUCAAAGAAGCUCUUAAUAAAAGUAAUUUCGCAUUUGGAGUCGUUGAUCAUCAACUAAAGUUGUGUCUUCACGUUCCCCAACCAACCUUUCAGAAACGAAAGACGAAAGGAUUACUAAGCGAUUCAAUCAUUUUAUCAAACUUUCAUAUUUGCUUAGAACUUGAAGCAUAAAAUUUCCUUAACAGGUUUGAUAGAGUGGAAUCUUUAAUAAAACAAUCGAAAAUGGAAAGUGCUGGUUGCCAUCUCCGGAUGUUUCUGAACCAGAGCAUUUAGGGAGGACACGGGAUCUAAAGCAUAGUGAUGCAAUGAAGAGAGAAAAAAUAACCAUAUAUUGUUUUUCAGAUGGUUGUAUAAAAAUAAAUUGGGUACCACUAAUCUAUGAAAGUAGGCACGACAAAAACGUUGAUAUGGAAGCUGUUCAUCUGUUUAGAUAAAUCCGCAUAAGUUUAAUCUCUUUAUAUAAGUUGAUGAGCUAUCUAAUACAUGCAUAAACUCAUUAAUAUUGUAUGAAUUAUUAUAAUGCAAAAAUUCUGGUAGUCGUGAUUGCUAAUUUAUUGCUUGACUCGACAGGAUCAAAAGGAAGAGCUCAAGAUGCAGAGAAGAGUUGGAGGAAUGUGAGGCGCAAAAUGGAAGUGAUAAAGAGAAACUUAUCGAUGAGAAACAGAAGGUGUGGGCACUUCAGUUAGCGGGACAAUGCGGUUAAUGUAAGGAGAAUUCAACUCAAACUAUUGCUGCCAUGAUGGUCUCAGUGUGGUAUUUAUCAUAGUACUUGGGCAUAAAGUUGCUUGGUUUCCCUUUAUCGCAGCUUUAUUUGUUCGUGAACUAUGAACCUUACUUGCAAUGUUGCAACUUGUGUUACUUAUCCGAAUCAAGAUUUGUACAAUGUGUUAAAUGUAAGAAUGAGCUGUCUGUUUAA